AUUGAACGCUGGCGGCAUGCCUUACACAUGCAAGUCGAACGGCAGCACGGGUGCUUGCACCUGGUGGCGAGUGGCGAACGGGUGAGUAAUAUAUCGGAACGUACCUUAUUGUGGGGGAUAACGCAGCGAAAGCUGUGCUAAUACCGCAUAAUCCCUAAGGGGGAAAGCGGGGGACCGUAAGGCCUCGCGCAAUUAGAGCGGCCGAUACCUGAUUAGCUAGUUGGUGAGGUAAAGGCUCACAAAGGCAACGAUCAGUAGCUGGUUUGAGAGGACGAUCAGCCACACUGGGACUGAGACACGGCCCAGACUCCUACGGGAGGCAGCAGCGGGGAAUUUUGGACAAUGGGGGCAACCCUGAUCCAGCAAUGCCGCGUGAGUGAAGAAGGCCUUCGGGUUGUAAAGCUCUUUUGUCAGGGAAGAAACAGCAGCUCUAACACAGUAUGCGAAUGACGGUACCUGAAGAAUAAGCACCGGCUAACUACGUGCCAGCAGCCGCCGUAA
rnacentral:rRNA from 1 species